rnacentral:rRNA from 1 species
CCUACGGGCGGCAGCAGUGGGGAAUAUUGGGCAAUGGGCGCAAGCCUGACCCAGCAACGCCGCGUGAAGGAAGAAGGCUUUCGGGUUGUAAACUUCUUUUAAGAGGGAAGAGCAGAAGACGGUACCUCUUGAAUAAGCCACGGCUAACUACGUGCCAGCAGCCGAGGUAAUACGUAGGUGGCAAGCGUUGUCCGGAUUUACUGGGUGUAAAGGGCGUGCAGCCGGGAAGACAAGUCAGAUGUGAAAUCCCGCGGCUCAACCGCGGAACUGCAUUUGAAACUGUUUUUCUUGAGUACCGGAGAGGUAAGCGGAAUUCGUUGUGUAGCGGUGAAAUGCGUAGAUAUAAGGAAGAACACCAGUGGCGAAGGCAGAUGACUGGACGGCAACUGACGGUGAGGCGCGAAAGCGUGGGGAGCAAACAGGAUUAGAUACCCUUGUAGUC